UACGAAGGGGGCGAGCGUUGUUCGGAGUUACUGGGCGUAAAGGGCGCGUAGGCGGCGAUCCAAGUUAGGCGUGAAAGCCCCGGGCUCAACCUGGGAAUAGCGCUUAAGACUGGGUUGCUCGAGUGCGGGAGAGGUGAGUGGAAUUCCCAGUGUAGAGGUGGAAUGCGCAGAUAUCAGGAGGAACACCAACGGCGAAGGCAGCUCGCUGGGACGGUACUGACGCUGAGGCGCGAAAGCGUGGGGAGCGAACAGG
rnacentral:rRNA from 1 species